AAAUAACAAUACAGGGCAGAUGUCUUGUAAUUGGAAUGAUGGCGACGUAAAAGCUCGCCAGAGUACCAAUUGGAGGGCAAGUCUGGUGCCAGCAGCCGCGGUAAUUCCAGCUCCAAUAGCGUAUAUUAAACUUGUUGCAGUUAAAAAGCUCGUAGUUGAACUUCAGCCAUUGGUGUCAUCGCGCGCGUCGCUUUGUCUCCGUUGGCUUAUCUUUUUACUUUGAGAAAAUUAGAGUGUUUCAAGCAGACUUUUGUCUUGAAUACUUCAGCAUGGAAUAAUAGAGUAGGACCUUGGUUCUAUUUUGUUGGUUUCUGAACCUGGGUAAUGGUUAAUAGGAACGGUUGGGGGCAUUCGUAUUUA
rnacentral:rRNA from 1 species